UACGGAGGGUGCAAGCAUUAAUCGGAUUUACUGGGCGUAAAGGGCGCGUAGGCGGAUUGGUAAGUCAGGUGUGAAAUCCCGGUGCUCAAUACCGGAACAGCACUUGAAACUGCCUUCCUAGAGGUCAGGCGGAGAGAACGGAAUUCCAUGUGUAGCGGUGAAAUGCGUAGAUAUAUGGAAGAACACCUGUGGCGAAAGCGGUUCUCUAGCUUGAUUCUGACGCUGAGGCGCGAGAGCGUGGGGAGCAAACAGG
rnacentral:rRNA from 1 species